rnacentral:miRNA from 1 species
AACGCGGAAAGUGGGAUUCA